GAGGGCUUAGCUUAAUUAAAGUGGUUGAUUUGCGUUCAGUUGAUGCGGAAUGGAUAUCUGCAGCCCUUA
rnacentral:tRNA from 1 species